rnacentral:rRNA from 1 species
CCUACGGGUGGCAGCAGUGGGGGAUAUUGCACAAUUGGGGGAACCCUGAUGCAGCGACGCCGCGUGGGUGAAGAAGCGCCUCGGCGCGUAAAGCUCUGUUAGCAGGGAAGAAAAUGACGGUACCUGAAGUAGAAGACCCGGCUAACUACGAGCCAGCAGCCGCGGGAAUACGGAGGGGGCAAGCGUUAUCCGGAUUUACUGGGUGUAAAGGGGGCGUAGACGGCGAAACAAGCCAGAAGUGAAAGCCCGGGGCUCAACCCCGGAACUGCGCUUGGAACUGCGUGGCUGGAGUGCAGGAGGGGUAGGCGGAAUGCCUGGUGUAGCGGUGAAAUGCGUAGAUAUCAGGAAGAACACCGGUGGCGAAGGCGGCCUACUGGACUGCAACUGACGUUGAGGCCCGAAAGCGUGGGGAGCAAACAGGAUUAGAUACCCCGGUAGUC